GAUGAACGCUGGCGGCGUGCCUAAUACAUGCAAGUCGAGCGAACAGACGAGGAGCUUGCUCCUCUGACGUUAGCGGCGGACGGGUGAGUAACACGUGGAUAACCUACCUAUAAGACUGGGAUAACUUCGGGAAACCGGAGCUAAUACCGGAUAAUAUAUUGAACCGCAUGGUUCAAUAGUGAAAGACGGUUUUGCUGUCACUUAUAGAUGGAUCCGCGCCGCAUUAGCUAGUUGGUAAGGUAACGGCUUACCAAGGCGACGAUGCGUAGCCGACCUGAGAGGGUGAUCGGCCACACUGGAACUGAGACACGGUCCAGACUCCUACGGGAGGCAGCAGUAGGGAAUCUUCCGCAAUGGGCGAAAGCUUGACGGAGCAACGCCGCGUGGGUGAUGAAGGUCUUCGGAUCGUAAAACUCUGUUAUUAGGGAAGAACAAAUGUGUAAGUAACUAUGCACGUCUUGACGGUACCUAAUCAGAAAGCCACGGCUAACUACGUG
rnacentral:rRNA from 1 species